GCUUAUCACCAUUCCAGAUUGAAUAUACCCGAUCUGGUUUGAUCUCGGAAGUCAAGCAAUCUCGGGCUUGGUUAGUACUUGGAUGGGUGACCGCUUGGGAAUACCAAGUGUGAUAAGCA
rnacentral:rRNA from 1 species